rnacentral:rRNA from 1 species
UACGUAGGGUGCGAGCGUUGUCCGGAAUUACUGGGCGUAAAGGGCGCGUAGGCGGCCACCGCAAGUCGACUGUGAAAUCUCCGGGCUUAACCCGGAAAGGUCAGCCGAUACUGCGGGGCUAGAGUGCAGAAGGGGCAACUGGAAUUCUCGGUGUAGCGGUGAAAUGCGUAGAUAUCGAGAGGAACACCUGCGGCGAAGGCGGGUUGCUGGGCUGACACUGACGCUGAUGCGCGAAAGCUAGGGGAGCGAACGGG